GACGUAGGAUGCAAGCGUUGUCCGGAAUUAUUGGGCGUAAAGAGUUCGUAGGUGGUCUAUUAAGUCUGGUGUUAAAUCUCGGGGCUCAACCCCGAUAGAGCAUUGGAAACUGAUUGACUAGAGUGCGGUAGAGGUAAAGAGAAUUCCUGGUGUAGCGGUGAAAUGCGUAGAUAUCAGGAGGAAUGCCAGAGGCGAAAGCGCUUUACUGGGCCGUAACUGACACUGAGGAACGAAAGCCAGGGGAGCGAAAGGG
rnacentral:rRNA from 1 species